UGCGCCAUGAAGAGAGGAUGCAGAAGGGAGCACACCUGCUGACACCUUGGUCUUGAACUUCCAGCCUCCGGAACUGUGACAACAUCCAUUUCUGUCUCAGCAACCCAGCCUGUGGUGUUUUGUUACGGUGGCCUCAGCAGACUAAUACGAUGUGUUAUGGGGCAAUUUAGAUGAAGAGACCAGACAGAAGACCAAACCCCCAGUUUGGCACAGGUUCUUUCCUCCAGACUGGAAGGCAUCUACAGUGUUCGUGGCCACCCUUUUAUUUGUUCAUAAACACUUUGUCAAGGGCUGUGUGGCACUCUGGGUCUACCACGUCAUGGCACCGUGGGAGAAGUCACGAAGGAAGGCACAAGGAGAUAUCGUUCUGGUGUUAAGAAGCUAAUGCACAGGCUGUCCUUCCCUUUGGCAUCUAUAAUGCUGGGCGCAGGAGGCAUGGGUUUUCCCAAGGAGCGCAAAGGCCUCUGGGAGGGAAGGAACCGAGCCCCCCUGCAACACCCCCCUUUCAAAGCGGGCGACGCUGCAGAGAGAGCAGAGCUCCCAGGCAAGUCUGCGGGGCAGUGCCCCCCGAGGGGGAGGACA